rnacentral:rRNA from 1 species
AGAGAUCUGGAGGAAUACCGGUGGCGAAGGCGGCCCCCUGGACGAAGACUGACGCUCAGGUGCGAAAGCGUGGGGAGCAAACAGGAUUAGAUACCCUGGUAGUCCACGCCGUAAACGAUGUCGACUUGGAGGUUGUGCCCUUGAGGCGUGGCUUCCGGAGCUAACGCGUUAAGUCGACCGCCUGGGGAGUACGGCCGCAAGGUUAAAACUCAAAUGAAUUGACGGGGGCCCGCACAAGCGGUGGAGCAUGUGGUUUAAUUCGAUGCAACGCGAAGAACCUUACCUGGUCUUGACAUCCACGGAAGUUUUCAGA